AUUGAACGCUGGCGGCAUGCUUUACACAUGCAAGUCGAACGGCAGCACGGGCUUCGGCCUGGUGGCGAGUGACGAACGGGUGAGUAAUAUAUCGGAACGUACCCAAGAGUGGGGGAUAACGUAGCGAAAGUUACGCUAAUACCGCAUACGAUCUAUGGAUGAAAGCGGGGGAUCUUCGGACCUCGUGCUCCUGGAGCGGCCGAUAUCUGAUUAGCUAGUUGGUGAGGUAAAGGCUCACCAAGGCGACGAUCAGUAGCUGGUCUGAGAGGACGACCAGCCACACUGGAACUGAGACACGGUCCAGACUCCUACGGGAGGCAGCAGUGGGGAAUUUUGGACAAUGGGCGCAAGCCUGAUCCAGCAAUGCCGCGUGAGUGAAGAAGGCCUUCGGGUUGUAAAGCUCUUUUGUCAGGGAAGAAACGGCUGUGGCUAAUAUCCAUGGCUAAUGACGGUACCUGAAGAAUAAGCACCGGCUAACUACGUGCCAGCCGCCGCGGUAAAAC
rnacentral:rRNA from 1 species